UACAGAGGGUGCAAGCGUUAAUCGGAAUUACUGGGCGUAAAGCGUGCGCAGGCGGCUUUGCAAGACAGAUGUGAAAUCCCCGGGCUUAACCUGGGAAUGGCAUUUGUGACUGGAAGGCUAGAGUGUGUCAGAGGGGGGUAGAAUUCCACGUGUAGCAGUGAAAUGCGUAGAGAUGUGGAGGAAUACCGAUGGCGAAGGCAGCCCCCUGGGUCAAGAUUGACGCUCAUGCACGAAAGCGUGGGGAGCAAACAGG
rnacentral:rRNA from 1 species